GCGAAUAUUAUAUGUCUAGGGCUUUUAUUGUGAAAGGCGCAACUCAACCAGUUCCGCACAACGUGAUUGGUUGAUGCCUUUAAUCACGGUGAGAAAGCUCCGAAAAAGCGACCUCAUUC